rnacentral:rRNA from 1 species
GAUGAACGCUGGCGGCGUGCCUAAUACAUGCAAGUCGAGCGAACAGACGAGGAGCUUGCUCCUUUGACGUUAGCGGCGGACGGGUGAGUAACACGUGGAUAACCUACCUAUAAGACUGGGAUAACUUCGGGAAACCGGAGCUAAUACCGGAUAACAUGUUGAACCGCAUGGUUCAACAGUGAAAGACGGUCUUGCUGUCACUUAUAGAUGGAUCCGCGCCGCAUUAGCUAGUUGGUAAGGUAACGGCUUACCAAGGCAACGAUGCGUAGCCGACCUGAGAGGGUGAUCGGCCACACUGGAACUGAGACACGGUCCAGACUCCUACGGGAGGCAGCAGUAGGGAAUCUUCCGCAAUGGGCGAAAGCCUGACGGAGCAACGCCGCGUGAGUGAAGAAGGUCUUCGGAUCGUAAAACUCUGUUAUUAGGGAAGAACAAAUGUGUAAGUAACUAUGCACGUCUUGACGGUACCUAACCAGAAAGCCACGGCUAACUACGUG